rnacentral:lncRNA from 1 species
UUUGAUAUACGCACAUCUGAUAUUAUGAAUAAAACGAAAUCUUUUUUUUUAUUUUCCCAGGUUUCUUCUUGCGUCUUGGCCUCGCUGUCUGACCUUCCAACCAUGAAGAAGCUCAGAGACCAUACCUCCUCCGAGGCACAGUGGAAGCCAUCUGACACGCUCCAUUACGUUGCGCUUGUUCCAAUUAAAGCUGACACCAUUUGCUGUCAAGAGCUUUGUGAUACCCUGCAGAAAGUAAUUCCCAGCAGGAAAGAACUUUGAACCGUAUCCCAGAGGAGCAGCAUCCCCCCUUUUGAAGACUGAAAUAAACAGCACCUUUGAGAUGACCCCA